rnacentral:rRNA from 1 species
AUUGAACGCUGGCGGAAUGCUUUACACAUGCAAGUCGAACGGCAGCACGGGUGCUUGCACCUGGUGGCGAGUGGCGAACGGGUGAGUAAUACAUCGGAAUCUACCUUUUCGUGGGGGAUAACGUAGGGAAACUUACGCUAAUACCGCAUACGACCUACGGGUGAAAGUGGGGGACCGCAAGGCCUCACGCGAUUAGAUGA